UGCAGUCGAGCGGACAGAUGGGAGCUUGCUCCCUGAUGUCAGCGGCGGACGGGUGAGUAACACGUGGGUAACCUGCCUGUAAGACUGGGAUAACUCCGGGAAACCGGGGCUAAUACCGGAUGCUUGAUUGAACCGCAGGUUCAAUUAUAAAAGGUGGCUUUUAGCUACCACUUACAGAUGGACCCGCGGCGCAUUAGCUAGUUGGUGAGGUAACGGCUCACCAAGGCAACGAUGCGUAGCCAACCUGAGAGGGUGAUCGGCCACACUGGGACUGAGACACGGCCCAGACUCCUACGGGAGGCAGCAGUAGGGAAUCUUCCGCAAUGGACGAAAGUCUGACGGAGCAACGCCGCGGGAGUGAUGAAGGUUUUCGGAUCGUAAAACUCUGUUGUUAGGGAAGAACAAGUACCGUUCGAAUAGGGCGGUACCUUGACGGUACCUAACCAGAAAGCCACGGCUAACUACGUGCCAGCAGCCGCGGUAAUACGUAGGUGGCAAGCGUUGUCCGGAAUUAUUGGGCGUAAAGCGCGCGCAGGCGGUUUCUUAAGUCUGAUGUGAAAGCCCCCGGCUCAACCGGGGAGGGUCAUUGGAAACUGGGGAACUUGAGUGCAGAA
rnacentral:rRNA from 2 species